rnacentral:rRNA from 1 species
UACGAAGGGGGCUAGCGUUGUUCGGAUUUACUGGGCGUAAAGCGCACGUAGGCGGAUCUUUAAGUCAGAGGUGAAAUCCCAAGGCUCAACCUUGGAACUGCCUUUGAUACUGGGGAUCUUGAGUCCGGGAGAGGUGAGUGGAACUGCGAGUGUAGAGGUGAAAUUCGUAGAUAUUCGCAAGAACACCAGUGGCGAAGGCGGCUCACUGGCCCGGUACUGACGCUGAGGCGCGAAAGCGUGGGUAGCAAACAGG